UUUUUCCGCUUUCUCUAAAACUGUCGAACCCUAGCUAAUGACUUCAUCAGUUCACCUUGUCGACCUAUUCAUUCUCCAAGCUGAAGUUCAUCGAGUCCCCGACCUCCUUCUCCGACCCAAGCCGACUGGAGCCGCCUCCGACCUGACCCCGAGUCCCGACCUCACCCCGUGUUCCCCUGCCUCGCUCUCUGACCUCGAGUCCCCGAUUUCGUUCUGCAGACCCCGAUCUCGUUCUCCGCCUCCGAUCUGACUCGAUUCUUCUACACUAUUUAUCAUCAUCUGCACUCAGGGACGGAGACACUACAGAUCGAUUUUGGUUCCACCUUCCAGAGUUGCAGGCUCCAGCAAUCGAGCCAGCUCCCCUUUCAGUUCGCCUGAGCCACCUCCACUGCGAGUUUGCAUCUCUGCGACUACGUGAAGGAUUCAAUCCCUGAAUCUCAGGUAAACACCGUAAACUGCUGAUUAUGUUUGAUAAUUGGGAAUGGGUUGUCCAGAUUCUUGAUUCAUGAUGUUUGGUGUUUUGGGUGAGGUGUUAAAUUGAUUACCCAACAGUCCAAUACCCAGCUUCUGUCUGUCUGAUUGUUGCUGGAAAUGAAGAGGCAAAAUCUCCACAAGUUAAGUGGUGCUUUGGUGCUGGUGCCAUCGUAAAUCAUCUUCAUCAUCUUAGAAUGACGAUGGUGGCUGGGGACUACACAUCGAAGGACUUGCAGGGCUUUGGUUCCAGUUUUCUGUGAUGGGUAAUGCUCGAGCCAUUGGUGCGUUUCCGGUGCUUGUGUUAGUCCAGUUCUUUGUUAUUGCAGCAGAGGCAAACACUCAGGAAUAUGGUUAUAUGCAGAUUCUUAUGGAUGAGUGGAAUAUAAAACCUCCUAGUUGGGUGAGUGCCGAUCCUUGUGACGGUUGGGAAGGUAUUAAGUGCACCAAUUCACGCAACACUGCCUUGUUCUCGGUUUACGAACUUUGUGGGAAUACUUAGCCAAGGACUAAGAAUAGCUCCUCCUGAAGCUCCAGCUACUGGUUAUAUGUAUAUGGAUAAACCUCCUAAGGGAAAGCACUUUACGAAGGGACUUGGCAAGAAAAAACCUGAGUCGGACUAUGUUAAAUGGAGAGAUGAUGUCACUGUGCCCUGCGGCAAACCAGUGGAUUCACAUGUCAGGGCCUCUGAGCUGAUGUAUAAUGAGUAUAUUGUUUAUGAUACAGCUCAAGUAAGUUAUGAACUCUGUUCUUGUUUUUUUAUCUUCUAUAUGGGAUAGUGGCAGUUUCUUACACUAAACUUUACGUGUUUAUAAGAUUUUGAUUUAAAUUAAUUCUCUACUAGUAAUACUAGAAGUGGCAGCUACAUUAACUGGAUAUCAGUGUAAGAUUGUGUACACUUCGGGUUCUAAUUCUUAGAGCCGCUCUAAAUAACUGGAUAUCAACCUUUGCCUAGUGUUGGUACACUACUAAUUUUAGAAGUUGUUCUCUGAACAUGUUAAGAUGCAAUUUCUAUUGAAGGUGAAGUCCACUUAAGAUUAAGUUUCACUCUCCUGAAGAGGAACUAGCCUUUGGUCCUCCUGCUUGUUGGUUAUGGGACUAUUUAAGAAGAAGUGGAGCUUCUGGGUUUCUGCUACCCCUUUCUGGUGGAGCAGAUAGCUCGUCUGUGGCUGCCAUAGUUGGCUGCAUGUGUCAGCUUGUGGUAAAAGCUCCGACUCGACAAAAUCACGGGCAAAGGUUCUAGCAGAUGAAAUUGGCGCAUGGCAUCUUGAUAUCAGUAUAGAUGGUGUUAUUUCUGCACUUCUGACGCUGUUUCAAGCAGUGACAGGAAAACGACCACGAUAUAAGAUAGAUGGAGGAUCUAAUGCUGAGAACUUAGGUUUGCAAAACAUUCAAGCACGAAUCCGAAUGGUGCUGGCUUUUAUGUUUGCAUCACUUCUACCUUGGGUUCAUAACAAACCUGGAUUUUAUCUUGUUCUGGGUAGUUCCAAUGUGGAUGAAGGAUCGGAGAGGGUAUACCCAACAACAACUUGACGAGGUCCGCAUUGAAGUAGCCGACUACUUACAGACUCUGCUGUAGGUUCUGACCAGUUUCUUGAUUUUGAGUUAGGCUAGCUUUUAAUUAACUUUUUUGUAGCAAUUAUGAACAAACAUGAAUACUAAUUGCUAGGCUAGCCUUGUAGUAGGUGAAUUGGGGUUUUAUUUUGCCCAUUUUGUAAACUGUUAAGGAUGAUGAUUUCAGAUAUAAUACUCCAAUAUUCAAAUCACUCUUGUCAACUAUUGAAAUUGCAAUUUAUAACAGCAGCUACAUAUUUUGUGGACAUCA